AUUGAACGCUGGCGGCAUGCCUUACACAUGCAAGUCGAACGGCAGCACGGGGGUAACCCUGGUGGCGAGUGGCGAACGGGUGAGUAGUGCAUCGGAACGUAUCCUGGAGAGGGGGAUAACGUAGCGAAAGUUACGCUAAUACCGCAUAUUCUCUGAGGAGGAAAGUGGGGGACCGAAAGGCCUCGCGCUUUAGGAGCGGCCGAUGUCGGAUUAGCUAGUUGGUGGGGUAAAGGCCUACCAAGGCGACGAUCCGUAGCGGGUCUGAGAGGAUGAUCCGCCACACUGGGACUGAGACACGGCCCAGACUCCUACGGGAGGCAGCAGUGGGGAAUUUUGGACAAUGGGCGCAAGCCUGAUCCAGCCAUGCCGCGUGAGUGAAGAAGGCCUUCGGGUUGUU
rnacentral:rRNA from 1 species